CUAGCGUUACAAGCAUGUGUUUGCUCAGUGCACAUGUAAGCAAGCAGUGGACAAGAGCAGAACCAGUGCUAUUCCUUCGGUGCUAGUGGCAUCUGAUUAUCUGCUAGUACUAUUCUCAAUAGCUGGGACAAUA
ensembl:snoRNA small nucleolar RNA SNORA57